UGUGUUUUCCUGUGUACAGAGUGUUGUAAGGGCUCCUGAACUGGAAAGUGAAGGUCACUCUUGAGUCAGAGAGAGAGACAUCAGCAGGCAAGAUAAUGGAUCGAGUUUCAUACACUCAGAAUAACCCGCUGUUUGACAUGACACUGAGCAGAAGUGAUCUCUCCAGUUUCCAGCCAGUCGAUCUGAAGCCAGCCAGGCCCAGAAAACAGUGGUGUUUUAAUGUGGUUGUCGUUUACCUGAUCUUGCAGACUGCCAUCAAUGCCUUUCUCCUUUAUAAAGUUUUCAAAUUGGAGUCUUCACUGUCAGGGGCUAGGAUGGAAAAGUUGACAGACAAUCACAUUGCUCCGGAUGGGGAUCAGCAUGAAGACUUUAAAGCUCUCAUCCACAACAACAGUCAAGAAACCAAGACCCUAAGAGGCCACCUAUGGGCCCUGCAAAACCAGUUGAACAGUCUGUGUGGAGAAGAUGGCCAGCUGGACAUGCUAAGGGUUGACCUGAGUCUGCUCAACAUAAGCACCAGCAACUUGGAGGCCAAAAUGACAAUCAUCAAUCUCAAACCAGGACCUCCAGGUUCUCCAGGAACUGAUGGACUGCCAGGACAUACAGGGGGACCGGGGGAAAAGGGCCUCAAAGGUGACAUUGGUGUUGCUGGCCCUCCAGGACCAAAAGGUGUCAGGGGACCUAAUGGACAACCUGGAGAGACAGGAGUCGCUGGGCAAACUGGGCCACUUGGAUUGACUGGACCUCCUGGACCCACUGGGGCCACAGGGAAUCAAGGUCCAGGUGCAAAGGGAGAAAAGGGAGAACCUGGGACCCCCGGAUCUUCGGGAGCUUCUGUUGUUCCUGGGCACAAAGGAGAAAAAGGAGAUCUUGGACUUGUUGGUCCACCGGGACCUCAAGGUCCUCCUGGACCACCAGGGACCAAAGGAGACCAGACAGACCAAGGAAACCCACCAGAGUUAAAUGUGCGUCUUGUGCCCGGGAGAUACCGAGGGCGAGUGGAGGUGAGGAACAAUGGGCUCUGGGGAACCGUGUGUGAUGACAGCUUUGACGCGGUGGAUGGCAGGGUGAUCUGUAAGAUGCUGGGCUUCCAAUCUGCCAUUUCCACCUACACUGCCAGCCCAGACUGCUGCACUUCGAUGAUCGCGAGAUGAUACGCACGAGACAAGCCACGGACAAAUUGACGGCCGUCUGAGAGGCCUGGGACGCAUGGGUGGCGCGCGGCUUCCGUCCCUCUACAAUCCGGCGCCCGAAGUGACCGUGGACGAACUGGUUCCGUUCAGAGACCAGUGUCCUUUCCGACAGUACAUGGACAGCAACCAGGCGAAAUACGUGGGUGGGAUAGGCCUGCGACGCAAAAUCCAGCUACGCUUGGAAGAUGCAAGUGUACACCGGAAAGCCGAGCUGAGGACGCCCAGAACGGAAACCAGGGGUUGCGGGUAGUGCUUUAUUUAACGGAGGAACUGCACGGUCGUAGCGUCUUGUGCAACAAUUACUUCACCUCCUACGAACUCGCGCGGCAGCUCCUGGACAGGAAGAUCCCCGUUGUCGGGACGGUUCGGAAGAACAAGCCUGAGCUCCCAGCCGGGCUGCUCACGGUCAAGGGAAGUUCACAUUCAAGCCACCGCCACUCUUGUGUCCUACAUCCCAAAGUAAAAUGGGAACGUGGUGCUCUUGAACAUGCGACGUGUGGAGGCCGAUGUCAUCGACCACGAAGAUGGGAAAACGGUCAUUGUCCUGGACUACAACCGCAACAAAGAUGGCGUGGACAACUAGACAAGGUGUUCGGAACGUACAGCUGCAGGAGGAGUACUGCUCGCUGGCCCUGCUCGUGACUCCGUCCACUGCAGUUGUGAAGGCAGUAAAAGCCGCCGCUGCAUGGAGAGCGACAGCGACACUCGACCCAAUCGUUUUGCUUCCUAUAUAGCCCUAACAGCAGCCCUGCUCGGGGUGUGUAAGAGGAAGAGGUGUCCGAUAUGCCUCAGGAAAAAGGACUGUAAAAUUCAUACUGUGGGCCGCGGGUUAUUCUGGCAAAAGGCAGAAUCCAGGCGCUGUUAACAACCAGAACAGCCCUUAAGGUCCAUGGUCAAGCAGAAUGGAUCCAUGCUUCAAGAUACAUGCCAGCCCUUCCCCCUAACGGCCAUGAGGAGGUGAUUUAUAGAGCAUAUAAAGGGAAAUGGGGAGGUUUUUCGUCCUCAAUUUAAUGAGUUGUUUGGAAAGGAGGAACUUGUUAUUGUAACCUAUAUGUUCCAUACAAAAAAACACUAUUCAAAGUGCACACAAAUAGAAUAAAAGAGCUAAUAACCUCUCCAUGGUGGUGACCCUCUACUGUGCGUGAAGUACAUGGGUUGAAGACUUGGCAAUGUGUUAAUUAUGAUGAUGGUCAAUGUGAUUACAUUUUUGAUUUUCAUUGAAGUUGUUAAAAGUAGUUUGUUUAAUAAAUUGUUUUAUCGUUC